GGGAGAGCUUCCACUAGUCCCUAUAGGUUCCACCACCCAGGGCAUCCGCAGGGACAGUUGCCGUGGGAGGUCCGCUGCCUGCUGUCAAGGAAGAUGGUCGAUGCUUCUGAGAAACAGGCCCUGCGGGUUCCUGGAUUUGGUGUGGCCUGGCAUCCACGGUGCACCCCGUGCUGGCGGGUGGCCCAGGACGGGGCAGUUGCCUUGAGAGGCCCACCGCCUGCUGGCAUGACAGAUGGUCAGUUCUUCCGAGCAGUGGAAUCUCCAUGGAGUCGUGGAGUCGGUGUGGCCUCGCAUCCACAGUGCACCCUGUGCUGGUGGAUGGCUCAGGACAGGGCAGUUGCCGUGGGAGGCCUGCCGUCUGCUGAAAGGAAGAUGGUUGAUGCUUCUGAGCAAUGAAGGCCCCAUGGAGUCCUGGAUUCGGUGUGGCCUUGCAUCCGUGGUGCACCCCGUGCUGGUGGAUGGCUCAGGACGGGGCAGUUGCCAUGGGAGGCGCAGGCCUGCUGGAAGGAAGAUGGUCGAUUCUCCCAAGCAACAAAGGCCACGUAGAGUCCUGGUUUCAGUGUGGCCUGGUAUCCACAGUGCACCCCGUGCUGGUGGGUGGCUCAGGACGCACACUCAUUUCCUCUGCACCUUCCUGGUGUCAUUGGCAUGGAAGGAAGGCCCUUGUCCAAGAAGGAUGGUCUUCGUCUUGUGUGAUCUUUGAGAUGCCAUGAGGCCCCUGGAUACAAAUGGUGUGGGCUCCUUUGGAGGCUUUUGGAUUUCUCCUGAAUGUGGCGUUGGUAUGGAAGGAAGGCCAGUGACCGCAAGGGAUGACUUUGAUCUUGGGAGAUUUUUGGAGAUGGCAAAGUGCUUCUAAACAUGUUUGGCAUGGUCUCCUUCAGGCUGGUGGAUACCUCAGGAUGGUGGCGUUGGCAUGGAAGGAAGGACUGUGUCUGUGAGGGAUGAUCAUCCUCUCAUGUGAUCCUUGGAGAUGCCAGGAAGCCCCUUGACACAUGUGGCAUGGGCUCCUUCAGAGGCUUUUGGAUCCGUCGUGAAUGUGGCAUGGGCAUGCAAAGAAAGACAGAGGCUGCAAGGGAUAAACUUCAUCUUGGGAGAUCCCUGGAGAUGGCAGGGAACCCAUGGACACAUGUGGCAUGGGCUCCUUUGGGUGCCGGUGGAUCCCUUCAUACGGUAAAGCCAGAGUUGGGUAUCAACCAGAUACACUGCAGGGGAUCAGAGGACAUGGCCUUUGUGUACUGCACAUCUGUCAGAUUUUCUCAAGCACACCCGUGUUUCCUCUUCACCUCCCACGUGGAAGUGAUGAAUUGGCCAGGACCAUGUUGGUGAGGGACAAUCAUCAUCUCAUGUUAACCUCAGAGAAGCCAGGAAGCUCCUGGACACACAUGGUGUAGGCUUCCUUGGAGGCUGUUGGAUCUCUCCUGAAUGUAGUGUUGGUGUAAAAGGCAAACCCGUGUCAUGAGGGAUGGUCAUCAUCUUGUGUGAUCCUUGGAGAUGGCAGGAAGCCCUGGACAUACAUGGUGUGGGGGCUCCUCCAGAGGCUGUUGGGAUCCUCCUGGAUGUGGUGUGGGCAUGGAAGGAAGGCCAGUGGAGACAAUGGAUGAUCUUGUUCUUAGCAGAUCACUGGAUGUGGCAGGGAGUCCUAGGACAUGUGUGGUGUGGGCUUCUUCAGGUGCUGGUGGUGUUGGCAUGAGGAAAGGAGGUAUCUUCGAGGGACAAUCUUCUUCUUGUGCGAUCCUUGGAGAUGCCAUGAGGCCCCUGGACACAUGUGGUGUGGGCUCCUUUGGAGGCUGUUGUAUCCCUUCUGAAUGUGGCGUGGGCAUAGAAGGAAGGCCAGUGGCCACGAGGGACAAUCUUGGUCUUGGGAGAUCCUGGAAAUGAUAGGGAGUCCCUUGAUAUGUGUGGCAUGGGCUCCUUCAGGUGCUAGUGGAUUCCUUAGGAUGGUGGUGUUGGCAUGAAAGGCAGGCUUGUAUCAUGAGGAAUGAUUGUCAUCUUGUCUGAUUCUUGGAGAUGGCAGGAAGCCCCUGGAAACACAUGGUGUGGACUCUUUCACAGGCUGUUGAAACCCUCCUGAAUGUGAGGCCAGAGACAGGCAGACAGCAGAUGUAUUGCAGGGAGCUGGAUGACAUGGCCCUUGGAACCUGUGCACAUGCCUGCCUUUCUGAUGCACGUCCAUGUUUUCUCUGCACCUCCCCGGUGGUGUUGGUAUAAAAAGCAGGCUUACAUCAGCAAGGGAUGAUUGUCGUCUCAUGCGAUCCUGGGAGAUGGCAGAAGUCCCGGGACACAUGGAGUGUGGGCUCUUUCGGAGGCUGUUGGAUCCCUCCUGAAUGUGUUGUGGCCAUGGAAGUAAGGCCAGUGGCUACGAGGGACAGUCUUCAUCUUGGGAGAUCCCUAGAGAGGGCAGGGAGCCCCUUGACAUGUGGAAUGUGAUCUCUGUUGGGUGCUGGUGGAUCCCACAGGUGGUCUGGCAUGGAAGAAGGCCAGAGGCUGCGAUGGAUCAUCUUUGUCUUGGGAGAUUCCUGGAGAUGGUGGGGAGCCCCUGGGCACGUGCAGCAUAUGUGGCGUGGGCUUCUUCAGGUGCUGGUGGAUCCCUCAGGAUGCUUUUCAAGGUUUUUCUAUGAGUUCUGUUAAAGAGUCUGAAAAUGGAGCGUAGAAGACAUGCUUCGAUUUCCAGGAUGGUUGUGUUUUCCAGAGAGGCGGAGUUCAUUGUGGAACCAGCACAGAUUUUCAUACGAAAGUUAUUUCUUUUUAACCUCAAAAAGUGACAGAAUGGAGUGUAUCAUGAAAAAGUCUGACAUCAAAACCUCAAAAUGUGAUAUUGAUUGGGUGAGAUAGAAUUCCAUGGAAUUUCAUUGCCAAACCAGUGAAGUGCUAAUUUUGACAUUUGUACCAGCUAACGUAGCUGUGAAGAAACACACCAAUACACUUCUAAGGACAGCAUAGACCAAGAUCUAGGUUUCAUAUGGAUGAAUUUAUUCUUCCCUUUGAGGCAAGACAAGAAGGAAAGAAAGUAUUGGGAAUAAUGCUGCCCUCCCAUCCUCAAGGGCCAGUGGGAACUCUAAUAUUGAUUGGGUGAGAUACAAUUCCAUGGAAUUUUACCACUGAACCAGUGGAGGGCUAAUUUUGUCAUUUGUACCAGUUAACUAACUUGGGAGGAAACAGAACAACACACUCCUGAGAUUGGUUUUCACAGAAUUCCAUGGACUUUAACUGCUGAACCAAUGAUGCACUGAUUUUGUCACUUGUACCAGCUAACGCAUCUGGGAGGCAACAAAACAAUACUCUCCUGAGGUUAAUGUGGACCAAAAACUAGAUUUCAUAUAAAAGAGUUUAUUCCUUCUACUUGAGGUGUGACAUGAAGGAAAGUAAUGGAAAUAAUUCUGCCCUCCCAUUCUCAAGGGCCAGGGGGAAUUCAAAUAUUGAACGGAAGUGAUUUUGGAAUUGCAUGGAAUUCUCACUGCCAUCCCAAAGAAAUGCUGAUCUUGUCACUCUUACCUGUUUCAUUCCCUGGGGGCAGAACAAAAGGACGCACUCCAAAGAUCGGCAUGAACCAAGAACUGGGUUUCAUAUAAAAUAUUUUAUUCUGUCCUCUUGAGAUGUGACAUGAGAAAAGUAUUGAGAAUACUUCUAUCACCUCAUCUUCAAGAAUCCGUAGGAAUUCUCCCAUGGUGGACUUUACGGUUAACCUGAACAGGUCUUGGAAAAAGGACUUUAAACAUUCUCCUGUUCUGUGGAAUAAGUAUACUUUUUUCUGGACAUACACCUUGUCAGUGAGUUCCAUGUGAUACUAGAGUUGCAUAGAUUUUUAACCUUUACGCCAAUGAAGAUCUGAGGCAAACAUUGCCCCUUUUUUAGAAGUUUGCAUUUGUCACUGAUAACUGUAAUAAUUGAUCUUGUUGAAAAGCCUGGGAAAUGAAGAUCUGAUAUGUCACUUUUACCGGCUUCCUCAACUGAAAAAGAAUACAAUGAAACACGCUGAGAAUUUUUGUGCUUUCUCAGUCUUGCUGAUGAUCUUUCUAUGGGCCUGAAGCGUGGAGAGUGCCAGAGAGGCUGAUCCUCAGCAGUGUGGCAGAGGAAAGUUGGGUGCGACUAAGGGGUAUGCGGUGCCCACAUGCCACUGGGUCCUCAGCAGUACCACCUGAUUGGAAGUGAUAUUGGUGGAAGACAACAUUUUGCCGCUUGGAAUUCUCACCUCCACACCAAAGAAGUACUGUUUUUGUCAUUUGCACCAGCUUCUUUCUCCAGGAAAGAUCAAAACGAUGCACUGCAAGUGUGAUUGGUCCAGAUAGCUGCCUUAUCCAACUGCCUCCUUUGGACCACUUCAUCAUGGGACAGCUUGAUGCAAUCUACUUGACAAGACCCUGGAACCCCACACCCCUCAUGGAACCAGUGUCCACCUCCCAGUCACAGUGUGACCCCAGGGAACUCUUGCCUGCUUGCUUUAAACCCACCACUUAAAAGUCUCCACAGAAAACCUGUUUGAAUAGUACCCUUGACCCAAUAAGGGCAUUGGCCCCUGGGUGUCUCUCUCUCUCUCUCUCUCUCUCUCUCCCUCUCUCUCCCUCUCUCUCUCUCGCUCCCUGACCUCUGCGUGUGGACUCCAGGCAUGCCAUAUACCCCUCAGGACCUGAAGCAAAAGAAUGAAUUAAAGAAAACUCCAGAGAAUGAGCUGACAACCUACUCCCUGGUCAGUGGCUCUCCAUGCCUACCUGUGGUCUCUUGGACACCCUUGCAGAAGAUGACUUCCUGGGAACUCUUCUGGGAGUGAAUGUUAUCAGCAAAUUCCCAAAACAACACCCCUUAGACAAAAAGCCUCCUCACCUAUGCAUUGCCUAGACCACCCACUAAAGGUGAUGGCCACAAAGAGGUGGAUUUGUUGAGUUGGUGCCAUUCCUUCUACUGCCAGCUUCACCAAAACAAUGACACAGUCUUCCUUCCGCAUGGAGACUCUUCUCUUUCCUGUGUUGCAGUGGAUGCCUCCUGCAGAUAAGAAAUGCUUAACUGAGAAAUGCUCAUGUUGGGAUAUCAUCGAUGAGACUUUAAUUUGGGCAUGGUGACUGUUUCCCUUGCUGCCACUUGACUCAAUCCCAGGAGCCUCAGUAGAGGAUAUAAUAUUACACAAGAUGCUCAAAAUGGUGGAAUUGCUCAGUGCUCCCAUAAAUAUACAUUUAUAAUUUUCAUUUGCCACAUGGUAAACUGAAAAAUACAGACUAUAUUAAAAAGAAACUGCAUGAUUUUUUUUCAAAAAUUCAAAGCAUAUUUAAAUAAUAUAUAAAUUAAAUGCCCUCCUCUCUUCCAAUUCUGUCCCUAUAGUUUUCCUCUAUUAAGUGAACUACAUGCAUUCUUUUAGUGGAUAGAUGCACACAAACACACAAGCCAUUAUGGGGAAGGAUCCACGUGUGUGGCCAUAUUGUAACACAUUUUUCUGCAAAUCACCUCUUUCAUUUAACAGCCCUUAUUCAAUGGCCUUUUUCUUUUUCAGUAGUACAUACACAUCUGUGUCAUUUGUUGAAUGACGACAUGAAUGUUUUGUAGAUAAAAUAUAAUUAAAUGUUUUAAGCAUUUCUCACUCAUAGAUAUUUAUGUUAGCACCAAAUUUCUGUGCAAUGAACCUCCCUAUAUAUCAGUAAUUUUGCAUUUGUCUAUAAUAUCAUAAUAAAUUACUUAUCAGUUGAAUUACUGGGAUUAAGUAUGUGCACACUUUAUAUUUAUAUUUUGAAAAUUAUUGCAAGAUUGCCUUCAAAAAUGUGGUUAACAACUUUAUCUUCAAAUGGCAAUGAAUGAGAUUGCCAGCUUUCCUACAGCCUCACAGACAAUGGAUUUUAUAAAUAUUUAACAUUUUUGCCAAUGUGAUCACCCAAACUAUUGUCUUAAAUUGUAUCUCUUUUGUUUUUGAGUUUGGUCAUUUUUUCAUGUUUAUUAGCCAUCUGUAUUUUUUAAUUUCUUCUUUAUGUCCAAUUUUGUGGGUGGGAGGAGGAUUUAGUCUCUUCCUGAUUUCGAAGAGCUCAUUUACUAUUUCGGGAAAUAAGAUUUGGAUUGUCAACCAUUAUAGCUAUUUUUUACACACUUUUCAACUUUGUUUUUGUUAUAAGAAUGUGUAUGAUUGUUACAUGUCCAAGUAUAACCAUGUUCGCUUUUAUGGCUUCUGAGUUUCAUGUCAUUUUUGGAAAGAUAUAUAUAUUGAGUCCAUAAAACCCUUCACCUAUGUUAAAUUCUAAUUCUUUUGUGUUUUUUUAAUUCAAAUUCUUAAAUCAUGAGAAAUUUUUUUGUUUUGAAAUCUUAAAGUUGCCAAGUUACUUGCCAUUACUUGCGAUUAUUUGCCAAUAAUUGCCCAUUUAUCUGUACCGCCAUCUUGCGCAUAUGCUGUACUCUCAUCUGUGACUGGCUCCAUUUUUGUUCUGUGGAUUUGUGUGUCUCUUCUUCUGCCUCCUGUCUCGUGUCUGCUCGUUGGAAGAAAUUACAGUUUAGACUGCAAUUUCAUCAACUUUAAUAAAUCAAUUGAGGGGAGAAUUGGUUUUUAAAAAUAUUAAGUAAGUCUUCGUAUCCAAGGACAAGGUAUGUCUUUUCUUAUUCAAUAAUUUUAAUUACUGUUAAUAUUUUCACUGUGGUGAUGGGAGUUUUUCUUUUAAUUUAUUUUCUUGUUCAUUUUUUGUAUCUAAAGUUUUUGUUUUGUUUUGUUUUGGGGGUAAGUUGUCACCUUACUGUUUCUUGUUGCUUUUCAGAUUUUUUCAAAGUAUAGACUAAAUCCUUCACAAAUAUUUAAAGUUUUUAUUUUCCCCCUUCAUAUUGAUCCUGAUUUUAGUUAUGUUGACAAAGUCCACAGACUGUUACUAUCAGAACACUUGAACAGUUAUGGAAAUAUUACCUACCCUUGAUUUAAUCAGAGUUUAAUGGUAUGCUUCUUUGGUUUGACUGGCACAUUGUCGCUGGUCAUUUCCUCCCAAAGACCACCAGAAAGAGCUAUGAUCAAGCAAAGCUGAGUUUGUUAAACUUACCUGCAGCAAGGGAAAACACCACCUUGAUAGGGUUUAAUAAUGUUUCAAAAUCAAGAAAUGAGGCUUUGGGGUCUGGGCAGGGAACUAAUUAGAAAUGGGCAAAAUUUGUCAUGCAAUACCUUGUGGGAAAGUGAGAUGAGGUUCUUAAUGUGAGUAUUGAUGGUGAAAUCAUUUUCUAGGUGAGCUGUUUGCCUAUAUAAAGAUGUUAUCAAUGACAGAAGAACUAUUUGCCUAGAUAAACAAACUGAAUUUAUUUAUUGGUUUACAGUUUUAUCUUGCUGGGCAGGACUCUGCUGGGGGUGGUAUCAGGUCUUAUUCCCAAUAGGUAAGUUAUUUGGAUAUGGGUGGUCUUAAUCAUCAAUGUGUAAAAUGCUGAUUUUAAGUGCGAAAUACUUUGUCUACCAUGUUAGGAAAGUCUGCCACCUUUUAUCUUUUUUAAGGAAUUUUAAUCAAAACCAGGUGGUAGAUAUAAUCAAAUUGUUUUGCAGAAUCAAUUUUCCUGUUCUCUUUAAAGACUUUUAUCACUGUGAAUUAAUUUACUAUUAUUGCAACUUCCUUUAAUUCCUUGAAUGAACAGACCCUACUGGUUUUAAAAAUGUUUUAUUCUUUUAAUUUACUACUUAAUUGUGGGUAUUUUAAUUUGAUUUGGAAUUUUUACAAGUAUACAACUAAGUGAAAUUGAUCUGUGAUUUUUCUUUUUUGUGCUAUUUUUGUCAUGUUUUGAUAUCAGAUAUUCUGGUUGUGUUAAAAUAAUUUUGAGGAUUUUCUUCUUAUACUGUGUUCUAGAGUGGGUAAAAAAGCCCUAGUCUCACUAUCAGUGUUUAAGUGAACACAUCAGUGACAUCAUCUGGACUCUCCUUUGUUUUUGCUGGUUUGGAGUUAGGACAUCUAGAAGUUUUUUUCUUUUUUUCCUUUUUUUGUAUGGUUAUUGCUUGUUCUUUGUUUUGUGUCAAAUUUAACCUGUUUUCUCUUAGCAAAUCACAGCUCAUGCAGAUUUUCAAACACAUUAGCCUUGUUAUACAAAGUGUUCUUUCAUCAUUCUAUUAAAUUUCCAUUUUCAUUCCAGUUAUAGUUAUUUCUGCUGUGCCUUUGUUAAUGAAUAAGUUUAAACAGUGGAUGUUUAGCAUCACUAGCCUUCCCCUUCCAUCUCCCUUAAUCAGGACCUUGGUAUAAUUUAUCAGGUAUUUUUUAAGGUUCUAAUUUACUUAUAUAUAUUGUUUCUGUAUUCUUUUGUUUCUUUUCUUAAUAAAUUCUUAAA
rnacentral:lncRNA from 1 species